UUCGAUACCAAUCCAAUUAAAUAAAUAUAAAUCUGUAUACUCCAGUUGAAAGUACAAUUUUGUAUUUCUGUACAUUUUAUUUCUACUGCCAGUGAAGUCACACACCCAUGCAAACAUACAACAUCUAAAUCUAACAGUGUAGAGAGAAAUACAUGAUUUCUUACCCCAUUCCAGUGCUUCAGGGUGUCCAUGCGGAUGCGACGGCAGCUUUUCCAGAGGUGUGCCAUAGACAGUGAGAGAGAACAGCAGAUCUUGUGCACAACGAGUGGAGAGGCCUCAGUGUAUUGCAGCCCUGGAGCCGGCUCUCAGCACACGGCUUUCUGACCAGCUGUGCCUCACAUUGUUACCUUUCACUAGGUUUCCGGUUCACCUGCGCACUGCCGGUGGUGGCUGGUCCCCUUCAAGAAGGUGAGGUGCCUGAGGUCCCUCCGCCCCCUCUGGACAUCGAGUCAAUGGACAUAGCGAGUCAUAAGCUCAAGAUUUGGCUUUCUUUACUUGGCUACAGGUUAGUAUUAAACAUAGUUGAGUUCAAAACAAUGAAAGUGCUAACAUACUCCAAAUAACAUGCCUAAAUCACCUCAAAGUAACUUCCAGCCACAAUAACCAUAUUAGUUAUAUUUGAUUUACUCUUUGAUAUGCAUUCGUUUAAAAAAAUAAUCAUAGCCAUUAAAUACUGAUGUAAUACUGUAAUACUAAAAAGUAAAGCUAUGUUGUAACUGACGGCUAUUGCUACUGUAACGCGCCGUUUGGAGCGUUCGGCGAGUGGACCCUUGACUAUAGGAAAGAUACGACUUUGACACGAGACAGCAAAGGGAGCUCAUAUUCCAAGACAUGCAACCACCUUCUCAAUUAGUUCACGUGACACAGAUUAAUUUAUAGGCACAGGUCAGGCAUUAGUAAUCAAUGAUGAACAUCCAAUUCUCAUCCUUACACUAUGAUUACUUAUAUAACGGAUACAGACAGACACCAUCAUAUACUAAAUAGAUACAGGCUCUACCAUGUCAUACUGUACAUUGUUCAUUGUGAUAAGGAAGAGUAGUUUUACCUGCAGACUAAUUAGCCAGUUAUACUGUGUGUGUUAUUUCAAUAGAUGACAACCUUUUAGCU
rnacentral:lncRNA from 1 species